AAAAUACUCCCUCCGUUCGGAAUUACUUGUCGUAGAAAUGGAUGUAUCUAGAUGUAUUUUAAUUCUAGAUACAUCCAUUUUCAAGACAAGUAAUUCUGAACGGAGGGAGUAGUAA
rnacentral:pre_miRNA from 1 species